UACGGAGGGUGCAAGCGUUAUCCGGAUUCACUGGGUUUAAAGGGUGCGUAGGCGGGCAGGUAAGUCCGUGGUGAAAUCUCUGAGCUUAACUCAGAAACUGCCAUGGAUACUAUUUGUCUUGAAUAUUGUGGAGGUAAGCGGAAUAUGUCAUGUAGCGGUGAAAUGCUUAGAUAUGACAUAGAACACCAAUUGCGAAGGCAGCUUACUACACAGUUAUUGACGCUGAGGCACGAAAGCGUGGGGGAUCAAACAGG
rnacentral:rRNA from 1 species